GUCGAGCGGUAGCACAGAGAGCUUGCUCUCGGGUGACGAGCGGCGGACGGGUGAGUAAUGUCUGGGAAACUGCCUGAUGGAGGGGGAUAACUACUGGAAACGGUAGCUAAUACCGCAUAACGUCGCAAGACCAAAGUGGGGGACCUUCGGGCCUCAUGCCAUCAGAUGUGCCCAGAUGGGAUUAGCUAGUAGGUGGGGUAACGGCUCACCUAGGCGACGAUCCCUAGCUGGUCUGAGAGGAUGAUCAGCCACACUGGAACUGAGACACGGUCCAGACUCCUACGGGAGGCAGCAGUGGGG
rnacentral:rRNA from 1 species